rnacentral:rRNA from 1 species
GACGAACCGAGCGAACGUUAUUCGGAAUCACUGGGCUUAAAGGGCGCGUAGGCGGGCGGCCAAGUCAGGGGUGAAAGCCCCCAGCUCAACUGGGGAAGUGCCUCUGAUACUGGUCAUCUCGAGGGAGAUAGGGGCGUGCGGAACUUCCGGUGGAGCGGUGAAAUGCGUAGAUAUCGGAAGGAACACCGGUGGCGAAAGCGGCGCGCUGGAUCUCUUCUGACGCUGAGGCGCGAAAG